AUAAUACUUGGCAGGGAGAUACCAUAAACAUGAUGGUAGUUUUAUCAGAGUGACCCUUACCCCAUUAAACUUCAGGUGUGCUGACCCCUGCGAUUUUCCCGAAUGUGGGAAACUUGUCUGCAUAUUUUGUGGUAGUGGGGGACUGUAUUUGCACUCUCCCUUG